rnacentral:rRNA from 1 species
UACGUAGGCAGCAAGCGUUGUUCGGAGUUACUGGGCGUAAAGCGCUUGUAGGCGGUCCACCAAGUUUGGGGUGACAGUUGCCGACUUAAUCGGCAAAGUGCCUCAAAGACUGGCGGACUUGAGGGCCACAGAGGGACAUGGAACUCCAGGUGUAGUGGUGAAAUGCGUAGAUAUCUGGAAGAACACCAAAGGCGAAGGCAGUGUCCUGGGUGGUCGCUGACGCUGAGAGGCGAAAGCCAGGGGAGCGAACGGG